AAGUCGUAACAAGGUAACCGUAGGUGAACCUGCGGUUGGAUCAUUAAUAAAUGAAAGUCUAUCUAUCUAUCUAUCGCGUAUCAGAAGACUUUUAACCUUGUGUGCACUUAUCACUGUACUUUCGUGGUCUGAGUGUUGGGAAGGUUAUGCCUUGCUGAUGCGAACAAGCUGGCUUGGUAUUGCGAGGGACCUUGGGAUUUUAUUCCGGGGACCCUGCAAAACCUCAAGCCCUGUGGCCGGACCACGUAACAAACUUUGUAAAAACAUGUGUAUUUCUUAAUAUUAUCAAAAUUAUAAAAAUUUAAAUAACAACUUUUGACAACGGAUCUCUUGGCUCUC
rnacentral:misc_RNA from 1 species